rnacentral:lncRNA from 1 species
ACAUUUCCAGCCCACACCCGGUUCCAGCUACCUCACUGAUGUGGAGUUCUAACUGGGGAGGAGGAGCCAGGCUGGCUGGAGCAGGAGGCGUAGACAGACCCACAGCUCUCUGCUGAGACUGACGGGGCCUGGAAGAGGUGGGUGCAGUGGCCUCCCACACAGAACCUCCCUGUCUGAAUAGUUGAGGGACAGACACCUCCAUACAAGGCAAGAAGUGCCCCUGUUCCAGUGCGGCCUCUCAGAGGAUACAGCAACCCGCCUGACCCCUGGGGAAGCUGGACAAGGCUCUGCUGGACUUGGAAGAGUGGGUAGGAGCAGGACAGAUGACUGAGGUGGGGUUGGGAGAAGAGGAAGGAGGUGGGGCCUGCCAGGAGGACAGCGGUACAGCCGAGGACGGUGUUCUGAGGAUGGGGGUGAGCAGCUGGCAGCGGCUACACAAGGACUGUAAAAAGUGAACCCUGUCCCAGAGGCCUGGGCAUGCAAAAUAGGGACACAGGUACCCCACAGAGACAGGACUUCAAGAAGACAGAGGACAACUGGCCACCAGUUUUACCUGAAUAUUUAGUUGGGAGAAGUUAAAAAGAUACCAUAUAAGCACUAUAAAGUCAGUGCUUUAAAAGGAAAACAAACAGCCGUGAAGUGAAAUGCAAAAUUCACCUGAAUUUUAAAGACGAAACAAAGAACUGUGUAUCCAUGGAGACACUUCAGACUCUGCAGGCAGAUCCCGGGCCCUGUCUCACUCCUGAGCCAUAUGUUUGAGUAAGGUGGCUAUGUAAUUGGGACUACAUGCAGUUAGACCACCCAGUCAAUCAGACAAGUGUCCCACCCGCCAAAGAGCACAGCGUGGAGCCGGGGAGAAGGUAGAUCCAUCCACAGACAAGUGUUUUUUGUUGUUGUUUUGUUGUUGUUGUUGUUGUUUGUUUGUUUGUUUUUUGAGACGGAGUCUUGCUCUGUCGCCCAGGCUGGAGUGCAGUGGCGCGAUCUCGGCUCACUGCAAGCUCCGCCUCCCGGGUUCACGCUAUUCUGCCUCAGCCUCCCAAGUAGCUGGGACUACAGGCGCCCGCCACCACGCCCACCUAAUUUUUUGUAUUUUUAGUAGAGACGGGGUUUCACCGUUUUAGUCAGGAUGGUCUCGAUCUCCUGACCUCGUGAUCCGCCCGCCUCGGCCUCCCAAAGUGCUGGGAUUACAGGUGUGAGCCACCGCGCCCUGCCGUUGUUGUCUCUGUCACCCAGGCUAGAGUGCAGUGGUGUAAUCCUGGCUCACUGCAGCCUCCACCUCCCAGGUUCAAGCGAUUCUCCAGCCCCAGCUUCCCGAGUAGCUGGAACUACAGGUACCUGCCACCACAUCCAGCUAAUUUUUGUAUCUUUAGUAGAGACGUGGUUUUGCCACGUUGGCCAGGCUGGUCUUGAGCUCCUGAACUCAGGUGAUCCAACCUCCUCACCAUGGUGGUCCCCAGGGCUCAAGCCUGCAGCCCACAGGGGCUUACAUUUCUGCUUUUAAAGUAAUUAAUGCAGCCGGCCUGGAGGCUCACAUCUGCAAUCCCAGCACUUUGGGGGGUUGAAGAGGGAGCCCAGGGGUUCAAAACCAGCCUGGGCAACAUAGUGAGGCUCUAUCUCUACAAAAAAUAAAAAAUUGGCCGGGCAUGGUGGCUCACGCCUGUAAUCCCAGCACUUUGGGACGCCGAGUCGGGCGGAUCACGAAGUCAGGAGAUCAAGACCAUCCUGGCUAACACAGUGAAACCCCGUCUCUACUAAAAAAUACAAAAAAUUAGCCGAGUGUGGCGGCGGGCUCCUGUAGUCCCAGCUACUUGGGAGGCUGAGGCAGGAGAAUGGCAUGAACCUGGG